UUGCGGUUAAAAAGCUCGUAGUUGGAUUUCUGUUGAGGAUGGCCAGUCCGCACUUUGUGCGAGUAUUUGGUUCAGCCUCGGCAUCCUCCUGGGGAGCGUGCCUGUACUUAAUUGUAUGACGCGUAAUUCAGGACUUUUACUUUGAGGAAAUUAGAGUGUUCACGGCAGGCGAUAGCCUUGAAUAUGUUAGCAUGGAAUAAUAAUAUAAGACCUCGGUUUUAUUUUGUUGGUUUCUAGAAGCGAGGUAAUGAUUAAUAGGGAUAAUUGGGGGUAUUCGAAUUAAUGCGUCAGAGGUGGAAUUCUUGGAUUGCAUUACGACGAACUACUGCGAAAGCAUUUACCAAGGAUGUUUUCAUUGAUCAAGAACGAAAGUCAGGGGAUCGAAGACGAUUAGAUACCGUCGUAGUCUUGACCAUAAACUAUGCCGACUAGAGAUUGGAGGUCGCUCUUUUUACGGCUCCUUCAGCAUCAAAUGAGAAAUCAAAGUCUUUGGGUUCCGGGGGGAGUAUGGUCGCAAGGCUGAAACUUAAAGGAAUUGACGGAAGGGCACCACCAGGAGUGGAGCCUGCGGCUUAAUUUGACUCAACACGGGGAAACUCACCAGGUCCAGACAUAAUAAGGAUUGACAGAUUGAUAGCUCU
rnacentral:rRNA from 1 species